GAUGAACGCUGGCGGUAUGCUUAACACAUGCAAGUCGAACGGUCUCUUCGGAGAUAGUGGCGGACGGGUGAGUAACGCGUGAGAACAUGCCUAUCGAUUGGGGACAACAGUUGGAAACGACUGCUAAUACCGAAUGUGCCUUAGGGUGAAAGAUUUAUCGUCGAUAGAUUGGCUCGCGUCAGAUUAGCUAGUUGGUGAGGUAAAGGCUCACCAAGGCGACGAUCUGUAACUGGUCUGAGAGGAUGACCAGUCACACUGGAACUGAGACACGGUCCAGACUCCUACGGGAGGCAGCAGUGGGGAAUUUUCCGCAAUGGGCGAAAGCCUGACGGAGCAAUACCGCGUGUGGGAGGACGCUUUUUGGAGUGUAAACCACUUUUAUUAGGGAAGAAGAACUGACGGUACCUAAUGAAUCAGCAUCGGCUAACUCCGUGCCAGCAGCCGCGGUAAUACGGGGGAUGCAAGCGUUAUCCGGAAUUAUUGGGCGUAAAGCGUCCGUAGGUGGCUUAUCAAGUCUGUUGUCAAAGCGUGCGGCUCAACCGCAUACGGGCGAUGGAAACUGAUGAGCUAGAGUGCGAUAGGGGUCAGGGGAAUUCCCGGUGUAGCGGUGAAAUGCGUAGAUAUCGGGAAGAACACCAGUGGCGAAAGCGCCUGACUGGGUCUGCACUGACACUGAGGGACGAAAGCUAGGGGAGCGAAAGGGAUUAGAUACCCCUGUAGUCCUAGCUGUAAACGAUGACAACUAGGUGUGGUUCGUAUCGACCCGAGCCGUGCCGUAGCCAACGCGUUAAGUUGUCCGCCUGGGGAGUACGCACGCAAGUGUGAAACUCAAAGGAAUUGACGGGGGCCCGCACAAGCGGUGGAGUAUGUGGUUUAAUUCGAUGCAACGCGAAGAACCUUACCAAGGCUUGACAUCCUCGGAACCCUGAUGAAAGUUAGGGGUGCCUUCGGGAGCCGAGAGACAGGUGGUGCAUGGCUGUCGUCAGCUCGUGUCGUGAGAUGUUGGGUUAAGUCCCGCAACGAGCGCAACCCACGUUUUUAGUUGCCAGCAUUCAGUUGGGCACUCUAGAGAGACUGCCGGUGACAAACCGGAGGAAGGUGUGGAUGACGUCAAGUCAGCAUGCCCCAUACGCCUUGGGCUACACACGUACUACAAUGCUUCGGACAAAGGGCAGCCAGACCGCGAGGUUGAGCCAAUCCCAUAAACCGAGGCACAGUUCAGAUUGCAGGCUGCAACUCGCCUGCAUGAAGGCGGAAUCGCUAGUAAUCGCAGGUCAGCAUACUGCGGUGAAUACGUUCCCGGGCCUUGUACACACCGCCCGUCACACCAUGGGAGUUGGUCAUGCCCGAAGUCGUUACUCCAACCGUUCGCGGAGGAGGACGCCGAAGGUGGGGCUGAUGACUGGGGUGAA
rnacentral:rRNA from 2 species